rnacentral:lncRNA from 1 species
AAUUUACCAGCCAGCGCUGGUGCAUUCGACCUCUGCGCAACGAGAUACAAUUGGUGAGCGCCGCUCUUGUUGGGCUCUGGCCAGCUCUUCGGGCAGCCGGGGGUGUCUGUCGGGAGCCCCCCGGCCGGUUCCCGGGAGGGAUGCACGGGAGGAGUCCCGGGGUCCCGGGGGACUCCUCGGCCGCUCUCCGUGGUGCUGCAGCCGCCGCCCGCGGUGCCUCCUGCGGGAGGGCAGGAUCCCCUUCCCCGGGAGCACGGCCGGCCGUGCCGCUAACUCCUCCCUUCGGAUGCAAGGGCUGCACCGCCACAAGCCAUCCUCUCGCCGCCCCCCUCCUUCUCCUUUCUCCCGUUUCGACAGAGCGAGCGGGCUUGCUCUGCCUGCGCGGCGGCGGCUGCCCACCGCGGACCCCGUGGGCUUGGGGCGGGUGCUUUAAUUUUGGCAGGACCUGCCCGCCGCCCUUCCCGGAUAAACUUGGGCCGGCGCCCCCCGGCACCGCGUUUUGGGGCUGGUGGGCUCCCGGCUGCCUGCGGGGAUGCCCAGCAUCCAAUAAUGCAAUGGCUGGAAGACCACAACGUGUCAGAUUAACUGGGUGGACACAUUGGAUAUUAGCAACAAUUCUGCUGCUGUGGAGUUACCAGAUCAGUGGACAAGUCAAUGGGGGCAAUUCUAUAGAUCGAGAUCCGAAGGAGCUUGAAAUCAUUAGCAUUCCUGACUCAUAAUUUCAGUAAGCCAUACUGAAGCCCUGCAAAUUCCACUAAGAGCUACUACACCUGGUAUAACACUCCAAGGAUCUCUGGGCUGUUAUUUUCCUGAGAAUCCCAAGGACUGGGACUCCACUCCAGUGACAGUCCAGAGAAACACUGGUCAUAAUAUGGGGACCUCUGUCCCUGUUGAGUUCUAUCCAACUGUAAUGAACGGGGGGGGGGGGGGGGGGAUAGAAUGUUUUGUGGUGUUAGAUAUACUUUUGUCUGGCAUUAGAGCUGUGGAAAAUGUGAGAAGUUUCUUUGAUGGAAAGGUAGGCUUGAAACCUGUAUUGUGAAAAUUGCUGGCAACGUUAAUUUCACAAGUUAAUAAGAAAUGCUAUUCAAUGUGUUUACUAUGUUGCUUUUCAUAAAUAAUUCAGAAUUGGAAAUUUCAGUUUUCAGACUUCUCUGUAACACUUAGCCAUUUAUUCACCUUUCAUCCCCUUUAGAAAUCCAAUCAGGUUAAGAGCAUUUUAAUGCACUCCUAAUAUGUGCAUUACCUGGAAUUUUAGAUUAAAGUAGAAAAGAGGUCCUUGUGACCAUUAUAAGUGAUCUUCAAGGGUUACUCUAAGAGUGAUAAAAUUGGUUUCAUCUAGCACGUGUUUUGAUUGAAAUACUUUCCGAUGUCAAAACACAUCCUCCAAAGAUCACCUUCAAUGCUAAAAAGGCUAUAUAUGCUGUACUGUUUGACCUGCUUUGGAGAUAGUUCAGUCAAACCAAAUCAUUUUAGCACUAGUAAUCAUGAAGACUGCAGCUCAGUAUCUCUGAACAGAAGUGUGGUUCCUAAUAGUUGUGCUAUGCAUACAGCAGUAUGAUCCCUGCAGUUCUCAGUUGCUGGUUUACAUGCCGCAGGUGCUCAGAUGCAGAAUUGAUGGGCGGCCAUUUAAAACUUUUAAGAGAAGUAGAUACAUAAAUCCAGCUGUGCAGACUAAUCCAUUGUGAAAUGGCUCCUACUGCUUUAAAUUGGUACUCCGUCUUUAAGCAAAUACUUCUUUCCUACAGACAAUUAGAAACAGAGAUGAAAAUUAAAAUGAUCUAUAGCAGAUAAGUGCUUAAAGUUACGAUGCACAGGUUGUUCCUAAAGUUGAGUGCAGGUGGAGUUCCUUGCUUCCUUUGCAGAAAGGGGGAAAGCGAAAAAGGCCUUAGAUAGAGAUCAGUGUGGAAUGGCAACUGGUGGUCCAAAUAAUUUGUAAAGUGAAGUGAUUGAGAAAUGGUGAUAUGUUAUUGGACAUAUUUGGAUAUUGAGUUAGUUAUAAACUUUAAGCAAUAAGUGAAAGUAGACCUGUGAUUGGGAGACAAAAUCCGUUGGCAGGCAAGUUGUGUGCAAUAAUGUGGAAUACUAGUUAAAUGUACUUUAAGUUAGGUCUUCUCUCCAUGUGUGCUGUAAUGGUAGCUGGAAAAUGUAACACCAGAGCACAUGGUUUUUCUCCUUUUUUUUUUUUUUUUGCCAUAAGAAUUAUAUCAAUGCAUUGCUUGGAAAGCACAAAAGUGUUAUGAAACUGUUUUAUAACUAUAUACAAAGAAAGUGGAGGUAAACUUAGAAAAUGUUUUUUUUUGUGCUAAAAUACACAUUAGUGGUCUUUUAAAAAAUCUGUAACUUCUUAAGUCUUACUCAGAUUUAUGAUUACUUGUAAUCAUAAAACUAAAAAUGGCUAAUUGGGUCAUUUUAAGGACCUAUUUUGCUAAAGGAAAAAUAAGAAGGAACACAUUUAAUGGUGGGAUUUUAAAGAUUGUAUAUCAGAAAUGGAAAAAGUCGAUUAAAUUCAAGGGUCGAUUAAAUUAGGGUGUGUCUGUAAUUGACUUCACUGGGACCUUCUCAGUUAAUAUUAACAUAAACUUACUUUAAAGCUGUUAGACUGAAAAAUAAAAAUUAGGUGAGCAAUGUGGCCUUGGCUUGA